rnacentral:lncRNA from 1 species
GGGCAUGGAUUCAUGUGAACAAAACCCUCAACAAAAAAAUAAGAAUUUUUUUCUGUCUACACCUAACUUUUCUAUUUUGAUCUCACAAGUUGUGGAUUAUAUCAAAGCCAAGACCUUUUGAUACCAUUGCUUGUAACUGCCAAGAAGGGAAACCAUUUAUUCGCAUAAAAGCUCCUGUGUUUUUUCUUCUCUCUCCUAUAGACCUCUUGAGAUUCAAUACAAAACGUUGUGGAUAGAAGGGAAACGUUGCAGAUACAGUGGCUUUUGCUGUAGAU